ACCAGGCUCCUGUAUCACUCUAGGGAAUCUGGACAUCAUCCUGCAGUGCCGAGUGGGUUAAUACAGCCGGCCUGGGUUAUCAGCUCACAUGAAAAGGAUGCAGGAGUCAUAUGUUGUUCUACAAUAAGAAAAAAAAUAUCUAUCAACCUAGCUUGGAAGUUAUGGGUAUUAGCUUCAUCAGACACAUGCGGUUUCUUCUUCCUCGCUACAAGAACAGGAGCAAGCUAUUUAACCUCACUGUGCCUCAGUUUUCGCAUCAGUAAAAUGGGGGUUAUGGUAUCUGCUAUGAGAAUGAAAUGAAAUUAGGUAGGUAAAACUCUUCGCUCUUCUUCUGAGACACAGUAGCACUCAAUAAAGGUAACUCUUGUUCUAUUUCAUAGUACCUGGAUGUACGCAGUGCCUACCACGGAGAAACAAGGAGGAAACAAGGAGAAAACAAGGAGCUCCGUCCCUUCCAGUUCUCUCAUUUCCUUCUCUCCACCACACUUUUGGCCUUUGACUCAUGAUGCUCCAUUAUACAGCCUACUGGUUUCCAAUGCUGACUGCCAAUAGAACUCCCUGAGCAGCUUUGAAAAAUUCUGAUGCCCAAAGCACCCUAAGACUAGUUACUCCUAGGUUCUUACAUACGGACCUGCCUGUGGCAUCCUCUGCUAAGCCCUCCUGGGGUGUCUCUUCAGUACAUCUCAAAUCAGCACUUGGUGGCUGACCCUUGGUGGCCAAUCUCGUGACCAGACACAAUCGUUGGUAGCAGGUAGCUACAGGCUGUACCGAAUUUACUACCAGCUGGUCAGACACUUAUGCUUCCAGCUCCAAGGGUAGCUGUCCUUUCAUGGAAGCUCAAGGGUUUGGGGAGACCCUCGUCUGAUUACACUGCUUUGAAUGGUCCUUCCUGCACAUCUGGCCAGCCUCUGUUCGGAUUCUGCUCAGCUGUCUCUCUUUCUUGCCUUCCUCCCCUCCGCGAUCUCACAGUCCCCUGUACAUACCUGUGGGGUAGCUCUCCAGCUCCAGUUAUCGCCUGGGUAGAUGACUGUGAACAACUAAAACACAAGGACAUUUUUCAUUUAUCUUUGUGUGCCCCAUGAAUAGCCCUGGGCCAAGCACACAACGGACAUUCCUCUCAUUUUAAAGAUACCAUAUUGAGAUCCUACUGGGUGCUGAUACUUCAAAAUGCCAACAUUCAUAGAAGCAUGGGAUUUUCACCCUGAAAGGAAUUUUGAGACAACGCAAUGAGGCCCGGGAAAGGUCGUGUCUUAUCAAGUGUCCCGGUGCCUGAGUAGGGAAAAUGUUGGCGAUAGAAUUCAACUCUCCUAAAGACAUGUAUCAUAUGACCUCACUGAUAUGAGGAAUUCUUAAUCUCAGGAAACAAA